rnacentral:rRNA from 1 species
AGUGAACGCUGGCGGUAGGCCUAACACAUGCAAGUCGAACGGCAGCACAGUAAGAGCUUGCUCUUACGGGUGGCGAGUGGCGGACGGGUGAGGAAUACAUCGGAAUCUACUUUUUCGUGGGGGAUAAUGUAGGGAAACUUACGCUAAUACCGCAUACGACCUACGGGUGAAAGCAGGGGAUCUUCGGACCUUGCGCGAUUGAAUGAGCCGAUGUCGGAUUAGCUAGUUGGCGGGGUAAAGGCCCACCAAGUCGACGAUCCGUAGCUGGUCUGAGAGGAUGAUCAGCCACACUGGAACUGAGACACGGACCAGACUCCUGCGGGAGGCGGCAGUGGGGAAUAUUGGACAAUGGGCGCAAGCCUGAUCCAGCCAUACCGCGUGGGUGAAGAAGGCCUUCGGGUUGUAAAGCCCUUUUGUUGGGAAAGAAAAGCAGCAGGUUAAUACCCCGCUGUUCUGACGGUACCCAAAGAAUAAGCACCGGCUAACUUCGUG